AUGCAUUUCGGUGUAUAGUGUUAUAGCCAGUAAUGACUACCAUUGGAUAGACUGAGGAAGAAUAUAACCCUGGCUUCGGCUCUGUUAUAUCGGGAUAUUGACGAAAUUGUACUACCUCGCCCGUCUUGAAACACGGACCAAGGAGUCUAACAUGUAUGCGAGUAGGCGGGUUAAAACCUCGCUGCGCAAUGAAAGUAAUUUCUUUACGGAUGCACCAUCGACCGAUCAUGAUUCUCUGAAGAAAGAUUUGAGUUAGAGCAUAAAUGUUAGGACCCGAAAGAUGGUGAACUAUGCCUGAGUAGGGCGAAGCCAGGGGAAACUCUGGUGGAGGCUCGAAGCGAUUCUGACGUGCAAAUCGAUCGUCAAAUUUGGGUAUAGGGGCGAAAGACUAAUCGAACCAUCUAGUAGCUGGUUCCCUCCGAAAUUUCCCUCAGGAUAGCUGCAACUUGUACAGUUUUAUCAGGUAAAGCGAAUGAUUAGAGGACUUGGGGAUGAAACAUCCUCGACCUAUUCUCAAACUUUAAAUGGGUAAGAAGCCGGUGUUGCUUAAUUGAACACUGCGCUCGAAUGGAAGUUGCUAGUGGGCCAUGCGGGGUAAGCUCGCCUGGCAAUGCGGGAUCAACCGAACGUUAUGUUAAGGUGCCUUACUACUCGCUCAUGUAGAGUUAAAAGGUGUUAGUUCAUCUAG
rnacentral:rRNA from 1 species